rnacentral:lncRNA from 1 species
AAGUCCCCGGCUACACAAGGCAGUUCUUGUGAUUCUUGACCACAAAAAAUGGUUUCCACCCUUAAGGGUGACCAGAACAAACACUGUCUUCGAGUUUUCCAUGAACAGACCGUUGGGUAAACCUAUUGUCCAACGGUUAAAAGAAAAACAUCAAGAACGAUGAAAAAGAAAAGAUUUUUUUGUGCAGAAGUUUAUGGGGAGGGUGAACCGAAAAGGGU